AAAUCAUAAUGAGGACAAAGGCAUUGCAGAUCCUUGAAUCUUUCUCAAGCUUCAUACAAUGACUUGCCAGGAUCUUGGGUGAAACUCACUAUCGCAUGACGCAUAU
rfam:Beta vulgaris subsp. vulgaris chromosome 8, whole genome shotgun sequence.